rnacentral:rRNA from 1 species
UUGGAGGGCAAGUCUGGUGCCAGCAGCCGCGGUAAUUCCAGCUCCAAUAGCGUAUAUUAAAGUUGUUGCAGUUAAAAAGCUCGUAGUUGAAUUUCGGGAUCAAUUUAUUGGUCGUGCAAUCGUACGUACUGGUAUUAUUGAUUCCUACCUUCUGACGAACCAUGAUGUCAUUAAUUUGGUGUCAUGGGGAAUCAGGACUGUUACUUUGAAAAAAUUAGAGUGUUUAAAGCAGGCUCACGCUUGAAUACAUUAGCAUGGAAUAACGAAAUAGGACGUUUGAUUCUAUUUUGUUGGUUUCUAGGAUCGACGUAAUGAUUAAUAGGGAUAGUUGGGGGCAUUAGUAUUCAAUUGUCAGAGGUGAAAUUCUUGGAUUUAUUGAAGACUAACUACUGCGAAAGCAUUUGCCAAGGAUGUUUUCAUUAAUCAAGAACGAAAGUUAGGGGAUCGAAGACGAUCAGAUACCGUCGUAGUCUUAACCAUAAACUAUGCCGACUAGGGAUCGGAUGAUGUUAAUUUUUUAAUGACUCAUUCGGCGCCUUACGG